AAAAUCCGGGAAUCUCUAUGCCGAGCACCGAGACGAGUCCUAUGAGGACGAAGUGACUGACACCACGCUUCCAGGAAAAGCCACUAAGCUUCAGCUGUAGAAAAACCGUACCGCAAACCGACACAGGUAGGCAGGGUGAAAAUCCCAAGGCGCUUGAGAGAACUCGGGUGAAGGAACUAGGCAAAAUGGCACCGUAACUUCGGGAGAAGGUGCGCCUCUUGGUGUGGUCACGUGCGUGACUGAGCAUCGAGGGGUCGCAGUAACCUGGCCGCUGCGACUGUUUAUCAAAAACACAGCACUCUGCAAACACGAAAGUGGACGUAUAGGGUGUGACGCCUGCCCGGUGCUGGAAGGUUAAUUGAUGGGGUCAGCCGCAGGGCGAAGCUCUUGAUCGAAGCCCCAGUAAACGGCGGCCGUAACUAUAACGGUCCUAAGGUAGCGAAAUUCCUUGUCGGGUAAGUUCCGACCUGCACGAAUGGCGUAACGACAGCGGCGCUGUCUCCACCCGAGACUCAGUGAAAUUGAAAUCGCUGUGAAGAUGCAGCGUUCCCGCGGCAAGACGGAAAGACCCCGUGAACCUUUACUAUAGCUUUACACUGAACGUUGAGUUCUUCUGUGUAGGAUAGGUGGGAGGCUAUGAAACCAGGACGCUAGUUCUGGUGGAGCCAUCCUUGAAAUACCACCCUGAAGUGCUUGACGUUCUAACCUAGGUCCGUAAUCCGGAUCGGGGACCGUGUAUGGUGGGUAGUUUGACUGGGGCGGUCUCCUCCCAAAGAGUAACGGAGGAGCACGAAGGUACGCUCAGCGCGGUCGGACAUCGCGCACUGUGUGCAAAGGCAUAAGCGUGCUUGACUGCGAGAUCGACGGAUCAAGCAGGUACGAAAGUAGGUCUUAGUGAUCCGGUGGUUCUGUAUGGAAGGGCCAUCGCUCAACGGAUAAAAGGUACUCCGGGGAUAACAGGCUGAUACCGCCCAAGAGUUCAUAUCGACGGCGGUGUUUGGCACCUCGAUGUCGGCUCAUCACAUCCUGGGGCUGUAGCCGGUCCCAAGGGUAUGGCUGUUCGCCAUUUAAAGUGGUACGCGAGCUGGGUUCAGAACGUCGUGAGACAGUUCGGUCCCUAUCUGUCGUGGGCGUUGGAGAUUUGAGGGGGGCUGCUCCUAGUACGAGAGGACCGGAGUGGACGUUCCGCUGGUGUUCGGGUUGUCAUGCCCAUGGCAUUGCCCGGUAGCUACGAACGGAAGUGAUAACCGCUGAAAGCAUCUAAGCGGGAAGCACGCCCCAAGAUGAGAUCUCCCGAGAGCUUGACUCUCCUAAAGGCACCAUCAAGACUAGGUGGUUGAUAGGCACGGUGUGGAAGUGCAGCAAUGCAUUGAGCUUACGUGUACUAAUGAGCCGUGAGGCUUGACC
rnacentral:rRNA from 1 species